rnacentral:rRNA from 1 species
CAAUAGCGUAUAUUAAAGUUGUUGCAGUUAAAAAGCUCGUAGUUGGAUUUCUGGCAGAGUGACUCCGGCCAGCAUGCUUGCUUGGUCAGGGGCGCCCUACCAUCCUUCGGUAAACCUCUAGGGUAUUUGUUUAUCUUAGAGCGGCUCCGAUAUUUUACCUUGAGAAAAUUAGAGUGUUUCAGGCAGGCUAUAGCCGGAAUACAUUAGCAUGGAAUAAUAGAAAAGGACUACUACCUCUUCUGUUGGUCUGGGAGGCAGCAGUAAUGAUUAAUAGGGAUAGUGGGGGCGUUUAUAUUCCGUUGUCAGAGGUGAAAUUCUUGGAUUUACGGAAGAUAAACUACUGCGAAAGCAUUCGCCAAGGAUGUUUUCAUUAAUCAAGAACGAAAGUUAGGGGAUCGAAGAUGAUCAGAU